rnacentral:rRNA from 1 species
CCUUAGUAACGGCGAGUGAAAGGGGAAGAGCCCAGCGCUGAAUCUCUCGGUCUUAGGCCGCUGAGAACUGUAGCGUAUAGGUGUGACUGUCCUGCUAUAUUGCAUUUCCGAAGUCUCUUUGAUAGGGGCCAACAUCCAGAGAGGGUGCGAGACCUGUACGGAAAGUAGUAUAGUUGGUAUGGUUACUCCUUGGAGUCGGGUUGCUUGAAAGUGCAGCCUAAAGUUGGUGAUAAACUUCAUCUAAGGCUAAAUAUCGACGCGAAAUCGAUAGCAAACAAGUACCGUGAGGGAAAGUUGCAAAGAACUUUGAAGAGAGAGUUCAAGAGAACGUGAAAUCGCUGAAGUGGAACCGGAGAGAGUUAACAUAACUUGGUAGCUAUAUCCUCUAAAGUCGCUUAACUGUGGCUCUGGGGGGUGGACGCUACCUGUUGUUGCACUGACUGCGUUGAUUGUGCUUUCCGAACAGUAUAGUGUUGCCCACUUUGUGGUGUCUUGCUUUCUGGGAGGUUUGUCAUAAUUAACGUAAAGCCAAUUCCCUUUGGAGUCAGUGUGAAAGUUAACCACCUUUCCGACCCGUCUUGAAACACGGACCGAGGAGUGUAAUUUAUACGCGAGUCAAGGGGUGGUGAAAACCCUAGGGGCGGAAUGAAAGUAAAGGCCGGUUAACCGGUUGACAUGGGAUCCGCUCUUCGGAGCGGCGCACCAUGGCCCUGUCUUGUCUGCUUGCAGAUGGGCAGCGGUAGAGCGUAUAGUUUGCGACCCGAAAGAUGGUGAACUAUGCUUGAGCAGGACGAAGCCAGAGGAAACUCUGGUGGAAGUCCGUAUCGGUUCUGACGUGCAAAUCGAUCGAUAGACUUGGGUAUAGGGGCGAAAGACUAAUCGAACCGUCUAGUAGCUGGUUCCCUCCGAAGUUUCCCUCAGGAUAGCUG